GUGCAUCUCACGGAUGGAGCAAUGGCAAGAGC
rnacentral:piRNA from 1 species